rnacentral:rRNA from 1 species
GACGAACGCUGGCGGCGUGCCUAAUACAUGCAAGUCGAGCGGAGUUUUUAAAAGCUUGCUUUUAAAAACUCAGCGGCGGACGGGUGAGUAACACGUGGGCAACCUGCCCUGUAGACUGGGAUAACUUCGGGAAACCGAAGCUAAUACCGGAUAAUCAUAGAAGUUGCAUAGCUUCUAUGUAAAAGUUGGGUUUACCUAACACUACAGGAUGGGCCCGCGUCGCAUUAGCUAGUUGGUAAGGUAACGGCUUACCAAGGCGACGAUGCGUAGCCGACCUGAGAGGGUGAUCGGCCACACUGGGACUGAGACACGGCCCAGACUCCUACGGGAGGCAGCAGUAGGGAAUCUUCCGCAAUGGACGAAAGUCUGACAGAGCAACGCCGCGUGAGCGAUGAAGGCCUUCGGGUCGUAAAGCUCUGUUGUUAAGGAAGAACAAGUGCUAUUCGAAUAGGGUGGCACCCUGGACGGUA